AUGAAUGAAAUAGUAGCCACAACAGAACAAAGAGAAAGGAGAAAAAGUAAGAAAGAAGAAGAGGACGAAGAGAGGAAGAGCAGAACAAAAUCAAGGGACAUGGGCAUUGACAAGAAGAACGUACCAAUAGCACGCCAGGCCAAGAUGAACUCCAAUAGUGGGAUGGCGUCAACAACCCAAAAAACAAGAAUGAACGCAACAAACAAAGCAACCUCACAACAGACAGUGCUACAACAACAACUACCGCAACACAAGCACAAGAUACGAUCGACGCCAGAACCAGUGAAGAGGCACAGCUGGAGAACAAUCAAGUCAGCAGUCCCGUCAACCAAAUGCAAGAGGCUGACCCACAAUCAACCGUUAGCAUAA
rnacentral:rRNA from 1 species